UUGUAGGAGGAUCUCUGAGGGCGAUCAAAUUUGCCUUUAGCAUUCCCUGCAGUGCCUGUGCCAAGGUCAUAUUGAUCCUGGUGAACUGCCUUCUUGGCCGGUCCUGUUUGGGCUGGAAGUUUUGAGAUGGUGGUGCUGCAAUCGUAACUGCUCCAAUGUCGUGGUCCCGGUUUUUCUUGUUACGACUCUUUUGACCGUACACAGCAUUUGAU
rnacentral:lncRNA from 1 species